AUGUUAAAGCCCACCAAAGAAGCACUCUUCUUCUGCGGUCCUGAACUGAAUGGCAGCUGCGGGCCGUCAUCUUCACCCUCACUCAUGGCCGACGGCGACGGUGACGGCGGCGGAGAGGGCGGCGGGAGUGCCGAGUGGCAGCCCAUCUACGACCGGGUCCAGGCGCAGGCCGAGGCUCUCGCCGCCGACCGCGCGCGGCUGGAGGCGGCCAGCAAGGUCCAGCGCGAGUCGUGGGAGGCGGCGCGGAGGCUUCAGCGGAGCGUGGAGGAGCUGCAAGCGGCGGCGCGGGAGAAGGACGCCGAGGUCGGCAGGUUGCGAGCAGAAGCCGCCGACGCUACCAAGAAGCUGCAGGAAGUGCGCGAGGCGGAUGCGGGCAGGAGGAUGAGGUGGGAGGCGGCCUACGUGGAUCUGAUUCUCGGUGCUAACCAGAAGCUCGCCGAACUCAGAGAUGUCGACAUGGAGGAUUCCAGAAUUUGUGCAGAAACCCCCAACUCUAAGGCAAGACUCAGUCAGAACACUGUGGAUCAGGCAUGUGUUGCAAGUGAUUUAAGCACGGAGCUAAGAAAACUAAAGCAAGCUUACGAGACUCUGAGCUCAAAGAAGGACCAGGAAGUUUCUGCAUUAUUCUCAGAAAAAGAACUUGCACGUAACCAGUUGGUUGUAAUGCAAAAAGCCUAUGAUGCGCUUCUUAGGAACAAGAACGGGGAGGCAGCACAAACUACUGAAGCAGCUCAGAAGCUUCAGCGGAGUGUAGAUGAUCUUAAAGUGUCGGCCCAAAAGAAGGACGAGGAGAUUAGCAGAUUGCGAGCAGAAGCUGUUGCUGCCGAAAAGAAGCUACUGAUAGCUCAAAAGCUUCAGCAGAGUGUGGAUGAUCUUAAGGCGGCGGCCCAAAAGAAGGAUGAUGAGAUUGACAGAUUGCGAGCAGAAGCUGUUGCUGCAGAAAAGAAGCUACGGGAAAUGCAAUCCUUGGUCCAGGAGAAAGAUGAUGAAAUCCAAACAAUUAAUGAUGGGCAAGAUGAAACUAAUCAGAAGCGCAGGCGUGUCUCCUCGACUUCAAAUGAUGAUGAGCAGAGUGAAAGUGUUGAGGAUGAUGAUGUUCAGAGUGGAAGUGAUGAGGAUGGUGACGAGCAGAGUGAAAGUGAUGAGCAGAGUAGAAGUGAUGACAAUUGUGAUGAGCAGAGUAGAAGUGAUGAUGAUGAUUUGCAGAGUAGAAGCAAUAAUCAAGUUCAAAAGCCUCUCUUGAAGCCCAAGAGAAAGAGAGAUGCUUGUAAUGCCCAGGUCGCCAACAGCAAUAAUCAAAGUAAAAUUUGUCAAUCGAUCCCAAGAAAGCACUACUUGAAUAGGAUGGCUCCAAAGCCGCUGCGCUCACGAAAGCUGUGUAUUGUCAAUGGCAAGCGUUGUCUGGAGGGUACCGGCCACUGGGGCAAUUACGUCAGGCUUGUGAACGACAGCUUGGCAGACCAACCUGACAAGCACAAGGAGUUUGUCAAUUUCUUGCGCAUUUUCAGGACCUAUAGAAUUCGUUAUUCGGCCAGUGCCAUGGAAAAGGCAUUAGAAGGACACCCCCAGCUGAUCCGCCAGUUUAACCAGUUCUUGCCUAACAAUUGUCAGAUCACGGUCAAGGAGGAGGGGGGCAGCACCCCAAUGAGCAGCCGUGAAAAUAUCAGUGCCGUGGCUGGGCUCGUGAAGCUGAAGGAGGGUGGCAGCCCAAGGGUCUGA
rnacentral:rRNA from 1 species